CUUCCUACCUAUCCACGCCACAGCCCAAAUCCUCCCAUUCUCCCUCGGAGCCACCAUCCGCUAGGGUUUCUCUUUGGCGCCCCCGCCGCCACCGCCGCCAACCAAUCUCCGCUCGCUUGAUUAGGUGAUCCCUCGACCCUGAAGCACUCCACCCCGAGCUUCUCCUCCGGCCGUUGAGUGCCAAGAGUCUGCCACCGCACCGACGAGCGCCCCGAGAUGCAUCUCCCUCUGAUGAGCGCUACGACAUGCAUCUGCCGCCGGCGAGCUUAGCUUCACCACCGACUCUACAAGUUUCCUCACCCGCUUUGAGCACUUUGCGGCCACUACCGCCCUGACAUGCCCCCGACCCCUGCAUUGCCGUGGAAGCGAGCCUGCUGCUCCUCUCCCUCCCCAAGAACAUCUAAGCUACCGAUGCAACGCCGACGCCCUAAUUUGCCUCCCCUCCAUCACAGAGGUGCAUCUGGUGGAGUGGCUCAAGAUGAUGGUGGGCAUGAGAAAAGUUGAGGAGCGUUGAAGGACUGUUUGGAGGCUCACUCACAUGGUGUUACCAUGCUAAUCAAAGUGUUUUGAUCAAUAGAACACAUGCUAUUCCAGAAGAUUUUAACAUACUAACUAAUGGAUUGAGGUUCAAACAGCCAGAACAGCGCCAUGGGAACCAUCAUGGUGGUUGAAAAAACUGAUUUUCCUCAUCCCCCUAUCCUUACAAGGCAAGCAAGGGAAAAGAACAAAUAAACUUGUCUGGCUGAGUGAUGCAUCUCUUGUUGGAACUAUGCUUUUGGCUAUUGAAUAAUGGCCUAUAUUUGUUUUGAUGGAGUUAUUGAUGAAAAUAACUUGUGGAGCUCUUCGAUCCCAUACAAAGCUUUUAUACUGAUAAGGACAAGCUUUUCGAGACUCUUGCUUCUCUCUGGGCAGCAUGUGGCUGAGUGGCAUAUUGUGCAGAGGAAGAGUAUGAGAAGAAACUUGUGCUUCUCACUCAAACUUUGUCGAACUCUCUUU